GUAUUUGACGUAGUGCCAGGAACUGCCUAACACGUGUAAUAGAUAUUUAAUUUUCAAUUAAAAAUAGAUAUCCUUCAGACAUCGUGUUUUUGUCUGCUACCGAUAAGAAUUUCCGGAUAACGUACUGACCGCUAUGAUUGUCACCUCCCCCCUCCCUUGCCCUAUUGUGCUCACGCGAAAAAUGUACUUUUUUGAUAAUAGAAGCAACAACCCAGCUAAAAGUAAAAACUUGCAUACUCGCAGGGUAGAGAUUAUCAGUAAAUCUAUUGAUACACAACUCUAAUAAAUUGAGGAUCCAUGUGUACUAUAUGGACAUUUGCUCAUAAGGAGUGGAGAGUGGGAGGUAUUAUUGAACAGUAUGUCGUAGAUAUAAUGUAAUUGUGAGUAAUACAGCAUAGGUGGGUAAGGGGUCACUAAAGAAUUUUACGAAAAUCGGAUAUAUUAGCGAAGAUUAAAAUAUAUAACCCGAACACAAGAUUUUGGAUAUAGCCGCCAGCAUGAUUCACUAAAGGGGAGAAAACAGUAUGAAACCCCGUAAUAUUGGGUGAAAAAUUUUGUAAUCUUCAUAUUGAACACGGAAAGAUACAUUUUUAUAGAAGUUUGCAAUGUCCAUAAAUGAUGUCGGUUAAAUGUUAUUACCAAAAGUUUUAAUUCUUUCACUACAGGUAAUCUGCACCUUGUCUUAUAUUCAUAUUAA